CAAGAAUGUUUUCAUUAAUCAACAAUGAAAGUCGGAGGUUAGAAGACGAUCAGAUACCGCUGUAGUUCCGACCAUAAACGAUGCCAACUAGCAAUCCGGCGGCGUUAUUUCCAUCCUCGCAGGGACAGCCAGUCCCA